AAGAAAGAACAAAGGGAGGGGGAAUCUCUCACUUUUUCUACCCUUUCAUACCUGGCUUCUCUAUAAAUUAGCAAGUAUCUCAACUUCUAAGAAGAGGCAGAAAUUUUCAGCCUUAUGAUAUUGGCCUCUUAUUGCUAUUGAGGCGAAGAACCUCAUUUACUAGCUUCUCUGGUAAUUCUUUUCUAGUCUGAAAGUGUCUCAUGUGCAGUAUCGGUUCACAUCCAACAUCUGCAAUUGAUCUUCCGCUGGGAGUUUGCACUUUAAAUCGCUCAGCCUCAUAUGCCACAAUGGCAUUUUUCUCAUCAGGCAGGUGCUGGCAAACUUCUAUAAGGGAAUUAAGAGAGUUCAUCUUCAUAUAUGGACAGGAAGCACAGCCACCAUGAAUAGAACAUCCCUCCCCGCUAGUAACUCCUGGUACAACAGGUAACAUGAAGUCCCCUUUGUUUACUGAUUUUAGACCAGGAGAUGAAUUUGGUGAUGUUCUUGUUAUCGAGUCUGAUGAGACGGGAAAAACAAUUUCAACAUUAAUUUUGGCAUCCCCAGAAGACUUUGCAGAACCUAACAAAUGCUGAACUGCAGCAACAAUUGAAGUGAUCAUUCCUGAUUC
rnacentral:misc_RNA from 1 species